UGCGUAGGCGGCUUUUUAAGUCAGGGGUGAAAGACGGUAGCUUAACUAUCGCAGUGCCUUUGAUACUGAAGAGCUUGAAUGGACUAGAGGUAGGCGGAAUGUGACAAGUAGCGGUGAAAUGCAUAGAUAUGUCACAGAACACCAAUUGCGAAGGCAGCUUACUAUGGUUUAGUUGACGCUGAGGCACGAAAGCGUGGGGAUCAAACAGGAUUAGAUACCCUGGUAGUCCACGCCCUAAACGAUGAACACUCGAUGUUAGCGAUAUACCGUUAGCGUCUAAGCGAAAGCGUUAAGUGUUCCACCUGGGGAGUACGCCCGCAAGGGUGAA
rnacentral:rRNA from 1 species